rnacentral:rRNA from 1 species
UACGGAGGGUGCGAGCGUUGUCCGGAAUCACUGGGCGUAAAGCGCACGUAGGCGGCUAUUCAAGUCGGGGGUGAAAGCCCGGGGCUCAACCCCGGAACUGCCCUCGAAACUAGAUAGCUAGAAUCUUGGAGAGGCGAGUGGAAUUCCGAGUGUAGAGGUGAAAUUCGUAGAUAUUCGGAAGAACACCAGUGGCGAAGGCGACUCGCUGGACAAGUAUUGACGCUGAGGUGCGAAAGCGUGGGGAGCAAACAGG